CCUACGGGUGGCAGCAGUGGGGAAUAUUGCACAAUGGGCGCAAGCCUGAUGCAGCCAUGCCGCGUGUGUGAAGAAGGCCUUCGGGUUGUAAAGCACUUUCAGCGGGGAGGAAGGCGGUGAGGUUAAUAACCUCAUCGAUUGACAUUACCCGCAGAAGAAGCACUGGCUAACUCCGUGCCAGCAGCCGCGGUAAUACGGAGGGUGCAAGCGUUAAUCGGAAUUACUGGGCGUAAAGCGCACGCAGGCGGUCUGUCAAGUCGGAUGUGAAAUCCCCGGGCUCAACCUGGGAACUGCAUUCGGAACUGGCAGGCUAGAGUCUUGUAGAGGGGGGUAGAAUUCCAGGUGUAGCGGUGAAAUGCGUAGAGAUCUGGAGGAAUACCGGUGGCGAAGGCGGCCCCCUGGACAAAGACUGACGCUCAGGUGCGAAAGCGUGGGGAGCAAACAGGAUUAGAUACCCGGGUAGUC
rnacentral:rRNA from 1 species